AGGCUGCCGGAGCUUGUAGUGGUAACCCGUUGGGGUUUUCUGUGCUGUGAUAAGGUUUGUUCGUUUGCAUUUGGCGUCUGCGUUGCCUUUAUGAGCUGUAGCGCUCACUGCGAAAAUUGUCACUUUAUUUCUGAAGUGGGUGAGAUGACGAGCCCGGCAGGAGGAACGAAACACUCAUCUGUGAAAGUUGCAACUUCAUUUCUGAAAUUUCCCAUUUUGGCCACGCUUCACAUGCGACACAUAUAGAAGUACACAGCAGCUUCCCCCCUUACCUGCAAGGGAUAUGUUCAGAGAUCUCCAGUGGAUGCCUGAAACUAUGGAUAGUACUGAAUCCUAUAUAUACUGUUUUUUUCUAUACAUAUAAUAAAGUUUAUAAAUUAGGUACAGUAAGAGAUUAAAAACUCAAAAUAUGAGUUAAACUCAUAUGCAAUAUAAUAUAUGCAAUAAA
rnacentral:lncRNA from 1 species